CCCCGGCUGGUGUUGGCAGGUGGCUGAGCCCUGUAAGCCAGCUUUCCAGGGACUCUGCCUCCAUCCACACAGACCCUAGAGAUUGCUGCUCAGGGCGGGAUGGAGAGCAGACAGGGCCUCCAGCCACAUGGCCAGGCCACACCCGGCCACAGCUGUCUGGAUUAGGGCCCGUGAUGUUCCUACGUGGUGCUGGCUACAAGGGGGUCCUGGAGAUGUUGUGGGCCCAGCCUCUGCCCCUGGGCCAGCCCUGCCUCAGCUGCUGGAAGAGCAGAACUGGGCCGGACACUUUGGGGUGUCAAGGAAAGUUUUGUGCCCAGAAACCCAGAGCCAGCCUUUAGGCACAGGUGGUCACAUGAGGCGGCCAGUACACCUGCUGUCAGCUGGCAUCUGCCAGGGAAACUGGGCCACGUGUUUGGAUCCAAGAUGUUCUGCCCCAGGGCUUAGCAAGCCACAGGAAGUAACUCACAAGCGCCAGGCAGCACCUCAGUGCCUGUGUCUGUGCUGAGCACCCUAAACCAGCCACCCACCAGCCCUCUGUGGCCUGGUACGGACACACCCACCAGCAGGGACCUUGGGCCAGCCUGGGCUUGGUUCUGGAACAAAGGAGCUGGGAGAGGGUCCAGGGCCCUGGAGGAAGGGGCAGCAGGAGGGCAGGGUCGUGGCCGGGCACCCUCUAGGUGGGUGUUCAUGACUGGUGCCUGCCAGGGCAGACCCGAUUCGGGGCCCACACUGAGGAAGAACCUGAUCCAUCUCCCUGGAGCCCCUCCUGGGCUGUCCUGUUGUCCCCUUGUCUGACAGGGUCACAUGGGGCAGGCAUGGUACAGUGUGGGCACAUGGGGCAGUGUGUGGCCAUUGCUCCUUGGCCUCAGCUCCACUCCCUGGUGAAGGCCAGGCCUUGCUGGGGUAGUGUCACAGCAGGGAGCACAGGUCUGGAGCCAUUUCCUGCCAUCUGCCCCCAGGAAAGUGAGGAGCCUGUUGUCGUCACUGGAGGUAUCACCCCACCCAGGCUUGCGGUUAGGGGAGUUUCAGGCGCUGCAUGGGGACCCUGUGACUUCCUGAAACCUGUCUGCAGGUCUCCAGGGAGGGUGUGCAGCUCUGACGAUGGACAGCCCGGGAGCGUCUCAGGUGGCUUGGUCCGUGGCCUGGGGCUCCUUCUUCCCUCCAGGGCUGCUCAGACAAGAGGCAAGAGGAAUACACUGGGACUCUGCCAGCUGGCUGAGAUCAGGGGCUGGCAGCCUGCAGGCUUCCUAGCCCUCCAUGGGACCCUUCAGCUGACAGUCUCCUCACACGCUGUUAGGGGGACACUGUCCUGGACCUCCAUGGGGUGUCCUCCUGGCUCCUGCUGGUCCCGGCUCUCCCUGGCAGAGCCCCUUACCAUGAGGGAACCAAUCAGCCACUGUGAGGACAGCCACAGCACAGAGCCGGCAGGGACCCCUGGGCCAGGCAUCCAGGGCAGGGUGCUGUGGAACUGGGACUGGGGCUAACCCAAAGCUGUGUGCCUCUCAGGCUGGGGGUGCCGGGCAGAGCAGGGUGGGAGGUUUCUGAGCACCCGGCAGCUGUGCCUGGCCUGGUCCCAGCACUGGGGAACUGAUGUGCAGGUGGUGGAGAGCCAGGUGCCCCUUGUGGUCCUCCCACUGGCCCCUCUGCUGUUGCCACCUGGGAUGGCCCUGAUCAAGGCACCAGAGCCUGUGCCACCUGGCUGGGCUGAGCAGGUGGUCAAAGCCCUUCCCCUGUCCAGGCCCAGAGUGCAGGCCUGCAAGGGCCUCAUGUGACAGGGGCACUCUGCCUGCAGCAUUGCCACCCCUCUGCAAGGGGAGGAACGGUUCACUUUCCGUUGGGCUCUCACUUCCUCUGGCUUUUGCCAAGGGGCCUGUAGAGCUGCCCCAUCUCUGUGUGAACAGGUGGCGUGACCCUUGCAGGGGACAGGAGCGUCUUCCUGGACUGGUCUCUGCGGGUUCCAUGCAGGGACAGGGAAGUGGGUGGGUGUCCGGAAGCCCUUCUGGGCCUCUGGGUGCACUCUGAUUCCCACCAAGGGCCUCUGCUCUGGAGCGGGAUGUAUGCAGGCCUCAAGCUACUGGCCCCCAAGAUCUCUCCUGCUCUUUUGCCUGUCAGUAUCCUUGCCUAGUUCAGGGAGGACAGAUUGCAGUGCCCAAGAGAGCCGGCCCUCCAGGGAAGGAAGUGGGCCCUAGGUAGGGGUGGCAUCUGGAGCCCAGGGAGCCCUGGUGUCUCUAGCCCACCAGCACCUCCCUAGCUGCAGACCCUGCCUUUCCCCCUUGAUAUGGCCUCUGCCCCCGCACCCUUGCACCCUCAUUUGAGGAGUGGCCAGAGAGCCCUGUGUCAGUGUCCCAGACCUUGGACCUGGGCUGCCCUCCAGAGUUCAGAGUGGGAGGGUCCUGAGGAUCCCAUAAGUGUCCCAGCGAGCCACCUCCUGGGGGCCAGCCUGAGGCCAGGGAGGCAGGACUGCAUCCCUGAGAUUGGAUGAGAUGAGGACCCACACAUGUGCCAGCAAAGGCUCGCUUUUAAAUGCACAUCGAGGUGUUGCUUUAACCACUUAACAGUUUACCCCAAACAUCACUUGGGCAGCGUGUUUGUUUCCACGCUAUCCUGAGCAGCACUCACGCUCAUGUGUCAUUUCAACCAGCCGACUGUUGUAUUGAACACAUUUGAUAAAAUUGCCAUUUUUAUAUAUUUUUAUAUUAUCUAAUAAAAAUUAACAAAAAAUGAGCAUGUUUUGGUCGUCUUGUAUUUAAGUAACUGGACUGGUAAAUG
rnacentral:lncRNA from 1 species